AAAGCCCUUGCCUCAUUGAUGAUGCUCAUCGCAUGGGAGAUUUGGUACGAGAGAAACGCUAGAGUCUUCCGCAACGUGGCGGUCCCUUCGGUGGUCAUCAUUAACAAGAUCAAGCAUGAGGUGUCGCUCUGGGUUUUGGCGGGUGCCAAGCAUUUGGGUAUUGUAAUGCCGCGAGAGUAG
rnacentral:rRNA from 1 species